rnacentral:rRNA from 1 species
CCUACGGGAGGCAGCAGUGAGGAAUAUUGGUCAAUGGACGAGAGUCUGAACCAGCCAAGUAGCGUGAAGGAUGACUGCCCUAUGGGUUGUAAACUUCUUUUAUAUGGGAAUAAAAUGUUCCACGUGUGGGCUUUUGUAUGUACCAUAUGAAUAAGGAUCGGCUAACUCCGUGCCAGCAGCCGCGGUAAUACGGAGGAUCCGAGCGUUAUCCGGAUUUAUUGGGUUUAAAGGGUGCGUAGAGGGGUUGUUAAGUCCGGUGUGAAAGUUUGCGGCUCAACCGUAAAAUUGCAAUUGAUACUGGCAGUCUUGAGUACAGUUGAGGUAGGCGGAAUUCGUGGUGUAGCGGUGAAAUGCUUAGAUAUCACGAAGAACCCCGAUUGCGAAGGCAGCUUACUAGACUGAGACUGACGUUGAUGCUCGAAAGUGUGGGUAUCAAACAGGAUUAGAUACCCCUGUAGUC